GUGGGGAAUAUUGGACAAUGGGCGAAAGCCUGAUCCAGCCAUGCCGCGUGUGUGAAGAAGGUCUUCGGAUUGUAAAGCACUUUAAGUUGGGAGGAAGGGCAGUAAGUUAAUACCUUGCUGUUUUGACGUUACCGACAGAAUAAGCACCGGCUAACUCUGUGCCAGCAGCCGCGGUAAUACAGAGGGUGCAAGCGUUAAUCGGAAUUACUGGGCGUAAAGCGCGCGUAGGUGGUUCGUUAAGUUGGAUGUGAAAGCCACGGGCUCAACCUGGGAACUGCAUCCAAAACUGGCGAGCUAGAGUACGGUAGAGGGUGGUGGAAUUUCCUGUGUAGCGGUGAAAUGCGUAGAUAUAGGAAGGAACACCAGUGGCGAAGGCGACCACCUGGACUGAUACUGACACUGAGGUGCGAAAGCGUGGGGAGCAAACAGGAUUAGAAACCCGGGUAGUCC
rnacentral:rRNA from 1 species